rfam:Listeria monocytogenes EGD-e, complete genome
UGGUGAGGUAGAGGUUGCGAGAUGCACUAGUAAUUUUUUCGAGGCGAAACAAAGACGCCGACGACAAAGAAUGAACAGGUUGAUCGCCGAAGUGACUAUUUUCUCUUUGUUUAGAAAUAGUUGUUGGGACAGUUUCCUAAAGGGGCUGGACUGCUAUAAGAAUUUGUCGAAAUUUCUUAUAGGUGUGCUAUCUGACAA